rnacentral:lncRNA from 1 species
GCCGCUUCUGGAGAGCAGAGAGCCGGGGGAGCGGCCAUUUCAGAGUGGGCCCAGGACAGCUGGGGCCACCGCCUUCCCAGCACAAGGUGGGCCAGGCCCCACAGGUGGCCCCAGAAUUGCAAAGCCAAUGGCAGCUUCCUAAGUGGUCACCGAAACGCACUUUCAGUGUGGACCCGCCGGCCUGUGUUUAUUCAGCAAUCCCAGCCAUCCACCUGACCUCAGGCUACAAAGACGAUCGUGGCCGGAGCCGGCUGACUCUUUGGGAAAGCAGCGGGACCCGGGGACAGCAGCUGCCUGCGCUGCUUCCCACUGCGUGGCAGGCCCACUCUCUGCGGGCACCGCGUCCUGCUCACCUGUGUUGUGGUCGGGUCGCAGAGCAGGCCCCUUGACGGCCUGAAACUACAGGUCUAAACAUCGCGGGGUGUUCACUGGUUUCUAUUAAGUAAUUCCUGUCCUCAGAGAGUAUGAUCAGCUCUUCUUUAAUAGUUGCCAAAUAAUAAUAAAACAGUUCUCAUUAAGAGUGUCAUCAGCGGCUGGGUGCAGUGGCUCAUACCUGUAAUCCCAGCACUUUGGGAGACCGAGGCGGGUGGAUCACGAAGUCAGGAGUUCAAGACCAGCCUCACCAACAUGGUGAAACCCUGUCUCUACUGAAAAUACAAAAAUUAACCAGAUGUGGUGGUGCA